UACGUAGGUGACCAGCGUUGUCCGGAUUUACUGGGCGUAAAGAGCGCGCAGGCGGUCGUUCAAGUCGAGUGUGAAAGCCCCCGGCUCAACUGGGGAGGGUCACUCGAUACUGAUCGACUUGAAGGCAGGAGAGGGAAGCGGAAUUCCCGGUGUAGUGGUGUAAUGCGUAGAUAUCGGGAGGAACACCAGUGGCGAAGGCGACUACCUGGCCUGUUUCUUGACGCUGAGGCGCGAAAGCUAGGGGAGCAAACGGG
rnacentral:rRNA from 1 species